GGGGCGGCGCGGGCUCCCCUCAGGCGGCCGCCUCCCGCCACUUGGAGCGGCGCAGAGCCCCUCAGCCUGGGUCCUGCCCGCAGCCCCGGCGAGGGGGCUCUCCUUCAACUCCUCCUCAGUUUGAAACGCGGCCCAGAAAAGGGCGAGGAGAUGGUAAACCUGAUGAAGAAAGUUGGUGUUUGAGUUAAGCCAAAUGCUGCAUCAUGAAUAGUGAACUUCUGGCAGGCCCAUUGAGAAGUACCAUGAAGUUUCUUCUACCAUUAAAACUGACAAAUUACAAAUAUACUGUGAAAGACAGAAUUUAAGGAUAUGUGGAAGUGAUGCAGCUCAUGAUGUGCUUCAGAAAAAAUAUGCCAGAAUGUGAUGUAAGAUAAUGCUUCGUUCUCAAAUAAAGAUGCCUGUGUUGCUGUUGGCUGAAGUCAGCCAUAUAGGAUCUGAAUGGGAAUGCGCCCUUGUAUUAGUAUCAUCUCACCGACAUUUACAUUGGGAUAUCUAUAAUUUACAUAGAUAAAAUCAAUUUCAGGCCCUGUACAGUUUUUCUCUACAGUAAUGAUUUUUUGUGUGUCUAAGAAUGUUGUAUAAACCUAAUCAAAUGCUUUGCAGAGGGCUUUUAUGUCAAGACAGUUCCUUUGAUCAAACAAACCUGUAUUCAGGAAAAAAAAAUGUUGUUUGGCAAGACUGAGUUCUCCUAAAGCUGUUUUGACUCUUGUUAUUCUAACAUCUCUAAUUCUAAACCAGUUUUGUUCUUUAUCAACUAUUUUAUGAUUCUACCAAAAAACAAUGUCAAAGUAACUAGCAUAUAUUUUACAUGGCUAUUCUUUUACUCCUUAAAAAUUCUGUUUAUUAGUAGGAGGAAAAAGGUCAAAGUAGGUUGUAAUUAAAUAUAAAGAAAUAGGGGCAAUUCAGUGAAGAGUGAAUUUAUGAGAAUCUAAAAGUAUAUUACAGUAUACUUAUAUAUACAGUGAGGAAAUACUAAUAUUGAUAUUUCUGCACUGAUGAGAACCUUCACUUUUAAUUUAUCAGCUAUUUCUUUUAGGAAUGCCAUAUUCCAUGGAAACACAACUCUUAAGCAAUCAUAGAUUGAACACUUGUCUGUAGGAUGCUAGAUUUCAUCAUCAAAAUAGUUUGCACACCUUACAUUCUAAAAACAAACAAACAAAAACAAACAAACAAACAAACAAACAAAAAAAAACACCACAAGUCUCAUGGGAAAAAUUUAGAACACUUGAUUAUGUAGCUGUUAACAGUAAAUCUAUCCUGAAAUGUGUAGUUAAGUAAUAACAGAUGUCAGUAUCAAGGAAAAAUAUGCAAAACUGACGACAAAGUAAAAUAAAAUAGAACACUGGAAGAAGUUUGCCCUUAUAAAUGCUUUCUGGAGUUUAAAAGUCACCUUUCAUGUGAAGUGUUUCUUUUUUGCAAGUUGUGUGGCUCUGUUAAGUGUCUGGAUUUUUAAUAAGUUCCAUAUUAAAAUAUACAGGUCACUUUGUUCAUCAAUUUAGAGCUUAUUUCAUUCUUUGAAGAAUGUUCUGUGGAAUUUCUGCUCUCUUAUAUGAUUUAUGCUUUGAAAGGAAUUGCCCAACCGCGUCUCCUGAGAUGUUUACCUCUACUCUUCUUGUACGUUUCAUGAUAUGUUUUAGUGUCUGUCUGUGAUUUGUUCUGCUCUCAAAGGAUGCAACUGUUAAUUAUCCUCUGCUGUUUUGAAUUCCAGUGUGACUUUGUAUUGAAUAUUAGUUAAUGCAUACGUGUUUCUUCACAGAAAUUCAAGGAAAACAAGAGUUUAUUCUUUUGCACUUGUUUAAUUUUUAAUUGCCUUUUUCAAGUAACAAACAAGCUUCAAGCUGACUUGCAGAUGUUGAAAACUAGGUCAUCUUGUUUAUGCACCAAGUAUGCUUGCUGUACUGCAGAGUGGUAGUCUAUAAAAACAAAUUAGAAGGGUUUUCCUAGGAGUAGGCAAGUGGAUAAGAAUGUUAGGGUAUCCUUACUGCAUCCAGCUAUGGAAUAACGGAAUAAUCAUUAUUUUUUCUUAGUUGUGCACCUAUUAUAAUUUUUUUUACUUGUUUGGAUUCAAUUUAACUGUUGGACUCUGGAUGAGUAAUUUUUAAGGGGAUUCUUCACUGAAAAUAUAACCAAUGGAGUCAUACUAAUACUGAUUUUCAACCCAGAUUUCAAUCUAGUGCUCUACUGUGCUAAUGUACUAAUGUGCUCUACUUUGAAGGGCAACUCAGGACUAGUGACUGUGGAUCACACUUGGUUACAGAGUCAUCCCAUCUUUUUAACCGUGAGAUUCAUUUAAAAUGCGGUGACAUAAAGCUGUUUCCUCCCUCACCUCUUGUUAGUCAUACCAUAUCCCCAGUCAGCCGUUCAAUUCAUUGAAGCUGAGCAUAAACAAGCUGAUAGUUCUUGUUGUCAUUGCAGAGCUUGAUUGUCUAUUACUCAGAAGUAUGAAUGUAAGUGGUGUAAUACUGGCAUCACAAAGUUUAGUGUCAUGGCGGCAGUUUAUACUAUAGAAAAACUUCAAUAUAUGUAAGUAGAUGAUCUAGUACAAUUAGUGAUUUAUUUAGUGAUUCCUUCAUUUUCUGCUGAAGUGUCUGGGGUUUACAGAGAACAUUAACACUUUAAGUUCAGUGGGGUGAUAGAACAGAAACUGAAGAAAUUGGCUUUGUUAUUUAAAACAUUGCUUCACUUCACAAGUCCUAUUUUAUGUUUUAUUAAAAUCAUGAAAUUGCAGAGAUGACUAGGCCAGGUUGAAAAAUUUUUCACCUGGCGACUGAGUUUUUAACAAAACCUUUUCUUUACGGCAAAUGAUUACCUCCUUUGAAACUGAAUACCUAAAAACUCAUGUGUCCCAUUUUCAUCUGAAAUUUGCAGUGUUUCAAUGUAAUAUACUGCAGCAGAUCAAGACACUUUACAAAGAAAAGCUUAAGGCUUGAGGCAAAGAGCACAUUCAAUAGGAGUCACAUGGUCCAACUGUCCAGGGAUUAAAACAGAAUUUAACUCUUGGUAGCGAUUCAUCAAAAUUUUAAUCUGUGAUGUCUUUUAUUCGUGUAUGCUCAAAUCUUAGUUGCAUCACUUGAGUAACUACAAUCGUAUUUACAAAAGCCAUAAAGUAACUGGACAGGAUUUGUAAGGUAGUGUAAUGAUCUCUUAAUCUUGUCUCAUUCUGAUUUUUUUUAAACAAUACACAGAAUUUUUUGGUAAUACUCACAGUGUAUGUAUUACUUACCAGAUGCUAGAUGGGAUUUGUGGGUACAAGUGAUAUCUUUUUUAGAACAAUUGGUACAGUUGGCAGAGUGGCAUUCAGUCACAGAAUUCCCUUUUUAGAUCUGAAACAGAAACAUCAAACUUCAAAAUUAAGUACUGUGGCUAAUAAAUUGUCUCAGAUUGUAUGAGAAAGGAGUUAGCUGGUGCCUAUGGAGUGAAGGUGGGGAAAGCUAUGGGUAGGGAAGAGAGGUGCCAAGCUGAUCAUCUACUUGGGGAGAGUGACAGGUAAAUCAUAGCCUGUGGGGAACAAGAAUGUUUCAGUCAGAGUCAGAUGAGAAACCAGAAGUACUUAACUUGACCUUAAUGUUCUGUCUCUGGAAUUUGAAUUUGGAAGGGAAGAAAAACAGAACAACACAACUUAGUGAGCAAUAUACUUAAGCUUAUUCAAUUUGUAAUUGAGUAAAUGUGAUAUCCACGAGAAACACUGAAGAAACAAUACCAUUUUAGUGUAAUUUUAAAGAUAUUUUCUUCAGAGGAGGUUUGUAGUUCAUAUAUCUGAAGCAUCUUUUCCUGCAUUGUGAGCUAUUUUUUUUGCAGAUAGCCUAUUCAACAAUCUUGGUUGUUUUUUAUUUUAUUUUUAUUUUAUUUUAUAUUUUAUUUUAUUCUGGCAAAGAUGUUCUUGAUGGCAUUUGUUCUCUUAUAAUACAGCUGACUUGACUUAGUGAAUAUGUAUCUUGUGUAUGUGUGUCACACACAGACCCCUGAAGUAGCUUGUAGUAUUUAAUAAAUUUUUAUUAAAAAAAAAAAAGUAUUUAAUGAUUAAUGGUAUACUGUGUUAUGCACUGUAGUGUAUUUCUAAUUGCUGAUACCAUUUGUACAAUAUCUGCCUUUGGGGAGCUAGAAGUAGCUAACUGCGUGAACCAUCUUGCCAUCUUGGGUUUUGAUACUGCAUUUCAGCUUUUUCUAAUGCUGAAACAUUGGGUUGUUUGUGGGUAUUGUUUCUUUUAUUUUGUUAUCAUUUCA